rnacentral:rRNA from 1 species
UACGGAGGGGGCUAGCGUUGUUCGGAAUUACUGGGCGUAAAGCGCACGUAGGCGGCUUUGCAAGUUAGAGGUGAAAGCCCGGGGCUCAACCCCGGAAUUGCCUUUAAGACUGCAUCGCUCGAAUUGUGGAGAGGUGAGUGGAAUUCCGAGUGUAGAGGUGAAAUUCGUAGAUAUUCGGAAGAACACCAGUGGCGAAGGCGACUCACUGGACACAUAUUGACGCUGAGGUGCGAAAGCGUGGGGAGCAAACAGG